UACGUAGGGUGCAAGCGUUGUCCGGAAUUAUUGGGCGUAAAGAGCUCGUAGGCGGUUUGUCGCGUCUGCUGUGAAAACUGGAGGCUCAACCUCCAGCCUGCAGUGGGUACGGGCAAACUAGAGUGCGGUAGGGGAGAUUGGAAUUCCUGGUGUAGCGGUGGAAUGCGCAGAUAUCAGGAAGAACACCGGUGGCGAAGGCGGGUCUCUGGGCCGAAAUUGACGCUGAGGAGCGAAAGCGUGGGGAGCAAACAGG
rnacentral:rRNA from 1 species